UUUCCUGUCGGAGUGCAUGACCACCACUAUUACGCGGUCAUCCCCAGUUCCCAUCACCUUGAUUGACAGCAUUCUUCUGGGAAUCGAAACCUCGCUUUCUGAUUGCAUCCGGAUUCGGCUUAUCUUAAUUGACCUGAACGUCUUGAAGGAGAAGAACGGGAGAAUCAGAAUUAAGGACCAUAAUCACUCCAUUAUCCGGUAGAAUUUCGGCCUUAGCAGCUUCUCCGUUGAUGACGUCAUCUACGCACAGACUGACGAAAGUUUUUAUGAUAUGACGUCACUGCAUCUUGUAGCAUUGUUCUUUUUUUUCAUUUAUAGCUGCGUCGGAAGAAUUGGAUCCCAUCUUACAUUUUAAUGAAUAUGAAGUCGACCCCCUUUUCGUAAUACAAUUCUAAACCGUUUUGACUUAA